UUUCGGGUCCAAACAGGCACACUCGAACUCAACCCACGGAGGGCCGGUCGGUGUUGGGCAAUCAAAAAAUGUUUGUGCACACCACGGGUGCGUUCGCACCUCCCUUUCAGUACGAGAGAAGUACUGGCAACAAUAUCUUCUCCCUUGCGCGUCUGUUUGACUCCUUGGUCCGUGUUUCAAGACGGGUGGAGGCACCCCAUUUCCGACGCCAACAUUGAGCAUCACGGAGAAGACACACGGCUCGCCCUUUGGGGGGUGCCGCGCGCUUUGUCUCCGCCCAUUUCACCAGUACCCUCAGUCUUGCACUUAGUUGCUCCGCGGAUUUUGAUCCCCACGAAGAUAAUGCUGCGAGGUUGGUUUUGGCCGAUUGAAAUGGAGGUACUUCCAUUGUCAUUGUCACGACUUCAGGUUCUAUGUCACUCUCUUUCCAAAGUGCUUUUCAAACUUUCGCUCACGCUACUUGUUCGCUAUCGGUCUUCCUA
rnacentral:rRNA from 1 species